AAGCCUGGAGGUGAGGACACAGACCGACCGCUGAGCACUGGACGGAAGCCCAGCUCCGACCGCCGCUGGCCUCGAGCCGUGCCCCAUGUUCACCUCGGAGCCCGGGUUGUUCUGGAUGUGUGUGCGGGAACCACAUGUGGCAAAGUACUUGAAGUCUCCCUCUGCCUGCAGCACAACACACGUUAGCAGGAGCAGGGCCACGCUGCCUAGAAGCAACACUGCCCUUGCAGCCGUCUGAGGCUGUGACCAGGUUCUGGCCGGCACAGUGUGUGAGAGUGCGAGGGACAUGUGUGUCCUUCGAGGCACAGAGUCCUGCCCAGCUGCUGGCGGCAUGUGGCCACAGUGGCUGGCAGCCUCAGGAGCACAGCGAUGCUACAGGAGGAGCCUGGGAGGCCCGUGGGCCCUGGCCUGCCUGAACUUGGGUUGUUGUCCAAGCUUCCUGCUGAUGGGCCUGGGAGGCAGCAGAUGACAGAUGCCCUGCAUGCCUGGGCCCCUGCCACCCAUGUGGGAGACCUGGAUGGAAUUCCAAGCUCCUGGCAUCAGCCUGGCCCAGCCCUGGCUGUUGUGGCCAUUUGGGGAGUGUACCAGUAGGUGGAAGAUCCUUCUCUUUUCCCUGCCUUUAAAUAAAUCUUGUAAAAAAGAAUGAACAACCUUA